UUUAGAUUAUAUUAUUAGACAAGAAAUCAUGAUUUUUAUAAAAAUAAAGUAUGUUUUUUUAUAAGAUUUUUUAUCAGAGUAAAAAAUUUAAGUGGUUUUAAAGGACAAAUUUUUAUGUUUAAAAAAAAAACUCAGUUGGAGGCAAUUGGAGGAAAUAGAGGUGCAAAUCUAUCACCAAAGAGCUGUGCGCAUCCCACCAACAAGCGGAUGUGAUGGACGCGUGUCCUCCCGUAGAUUUCUUCUCCCCGAGGAGCUUGGAAGAAGCAGUGCCGUCCAUGAGAACGUGAUGAUGGAGACGGGAAGCGAAGGGAACGGUGAUAGAGAGGCUGAAUCAGGUGGAGGAUCGAGUGCUGAAGGUGGAGGAAGUGUGGUUAACAAAGGGGAGUGCAAUAAGUAAAAGUCCAAAGAAAGUUUCAAACAGCUUGUGAAGAAUGUGGGAAGCUAAAGGAAGAAGACUUACAAAAAGAACAAUAGUUAUAUAUUAUUGGAUUUGUGCCCAUGUUUUUUUCAAUUUUACUUACAUUUAUUCUUUCCUUUUGGGGAAUGCAAAGUUAAAAUACUUUCAUU